AGGAACCUCGCGUGUUUCUCAGACGUCACCCACCUUGGAGGAACCCGAGUUCGCAGCCCUUCUGAGCGACCUGCGGACAUACCUGCCAAUGGUGACGGGCGCGCCGGGGGUUCCUGGCAAUCCCGAUGCAGGCCUCGGGUCUCAGGAGGCGCUGACAUUAAAACAGCGGACAGCCCGGCACUCCAGGCACGUGGGAAAGCCGCGCAGGUGCCACGACCUCCUUAGAUGCUGUUUCCGGUGUGAAACGGUUUUCUAAAAUGUAAACGAGGCGUUGUAAAGCCCCUGUUUCUUCUAACUCUGCAGCGCCUGGCGGACCCGGGCACGGAGGUGACACGCUCCGGCUGCCUCCGCUCGUUUUUGUCCUUUUUGUCUGCGGCGCCCCCUCCUCCGUCCACCCCCACUGCGUUCAGAACGGCCGUUAACGAGGCGCUCUAAUUAGCAGCGCUUUGAGGUGAGCUUGGACACUUGAAGUAGUUCUCGCUCCCCAGGCUUUCUUCCUCGGUAAUAAUUAAACACUGAGGACCAGAUAUUCAAACGGCUUCGCUGAGACGACGGCCGCCGUUCCCUGGAAAUGUCAGGAGUGCACGAGGUGCGAGUCUUCAAAGCACCCCUGGAAAGUUUGCAGGCUCACGAUGCGGCAUCGAGAAUUUCAAUGAGAACUGUUUCAAAGGACCAAGAAACAGGAAUUUACGCAGGUCGGAAGAAAAUACGUUGGUUACAGUUACAAUAAAGAUCUUAACUAUGUUCAAAAUACGUUGCUUACAAGAAGGGAGUUCGUUUUUCUUAAUCUCCAAGUGCACAUUAUGUAUUUCAUUUGCGUCACAUUUGGGUAAUGUUUCAUAAAGGCGGCUGACAGGAGAAUUUAAAAUUAAACGGAGGUUAUCUGCGUCCCACACCUGCAGGGUGGAAGGAGGUUUAACCUGGUCCAGCAGCUAACCCCACACAGGACGCCUCGCGGUGGGAGAAAUCCGCCGUGGUGAGAGCAGUCGCUACCAAACAGACAGCCGCUGUGCAUGGGGCUGGAUUUAUUGUUUUUUUGAUCAUCUAGACUUGAAAGAGUAACGGAUACGACUCUAAGAUGUGGUGUUUCUACAGCCAUCACAUUGCAAAUGGCACAGAAACUAAGGGAGCAUUCUUUUAAUCCAAAGAGAUGGCAGAACUCGGCAAAGAACUUGCUCUCGUCGUUGCACUGAUGAACAAGUCCCAACACAUGUCUUCGCUGUUUCACUUUUGUCUUGUUAAUAUAAAUAAGAGAUCAACCAACGUUCACGUCAGGACUUCAGUUCAUUACGUGUGUGUGUUUUGUUUCCCAUGGAGGCACCGCUGAAUCUCUCGGUUAGAUCCUGCUGACGGGUUUGAACGCUCUACGCAAGCACUUCCCACAGGAACACCAACACGUGUUCUCUCGGCGGGAGAGGAGAGCCAAGUGCUGUCCAAAGUGACUGUUGAUCAGCUCCACGCCCUCCGUCAGUUCGCACCUUUUCAUUCUGACUCUCCGCGAGGUUCCUGUGUCUCUGCGAAGAGCUGCUCAUCCCGUCAGUCAAUCUUAUUUUGUUUUUGUUGUCCUGUCUGUGUCUCCAGAGAUCUUUCUAAUUUCUGCAUCAUAACUACUCACUGCUUCCUUACUGCUACCUUCUCCUGUCCUCAUCUCUCAAACCGCAAGGACCUGGAUGGCAGGCAGGCAAACCGAGGUGUACACAACCGAGGCAGGGCCGCAUCUUCUCGGGCGGGAGCAGGACUGCCAAGGAAAGGGGGACCAGUGGCCUGGGAGUCUCCAACCCUCUGCUGCAACUAAAGAGGAAAAUAUGCUUUUGACUUAACGCUGACAACGGGCUGUCUGGUGGUGGGCAGGAUUUGCAGCCUGUAUCCCAGGUCUUCCAGAUUUGGGGGUGGGUCGGGCCGUAGGCACAGAGGACUGUGAUUGUCCCUCCCUGGCAAACCCCUCCUGGCUCUCUCUUAGGGUCUCCAGCAUGCCUCACCUCGAGUGAGGACCUUGAGAUGACCCUCUGGGCCCUGCUUUUCUCUCCCCAUCCCCUGGGGUUGUUUCUGAUGCUGGUGCCUAGAUCAGCAGCUCUAACACCAGUGCCCCACACAGGUGGGCAUCGGGCUGCGGCCCGUAGACACUGCUCACAACCACCAAUGCCACCUGCCAGGGCUGCUGUGGUCCAGACACAGGAGGAGCCGCUGGUGCCAAGUCAGUUGGUAGCUGGCCCUUUCCAGGAGCCUCAGAGAAAAUGGGUUCAGUUUCCCUGUUGAUCAGCCUUCCCAGAGGGAGGUGGGCAGGAACCCAGGUGGCCUGGGCUGCAGGAUUCGGAACCCCUCCCCCUUCUUUGGUGAAUCAUAAAACUUAAUCCCAGGGCCCCAGGGGGCUUCUGGAGGCACACACACUUGGGCCCUCCCACAUGCCCAGGUUUCUAGCCCUCAGGGGCCUCCGCCCAGGGACCCUCCUUGGGUCCUGUGACUGUGAGAGGCCCCCCGUUAGAGGAGACAGCCCUCAACUACCUCAGAGUCGGGCUGUGUUUCACCCAGGUUCAUGUGUUUCUCCACCGACAACUGUGAUGGGCUGAAUCGUUCCCCCAAAAAGUUAUAUAUCGACGUCCUCACUCCCCACACCUCAAAUGCCGACUGUAUCUGAAGACAGUCUUUAAAGAGGUGAUUAGCUGAAAAUGAGAUUAUACAGACGGCCCCUAAUCCAAUCCAGAGGUGUCCUGAUAAGAAGGAGAAGUUCGCACACCGACAAGCAGGGCCACAACCCGGUGACGACCCGGGAAGACAGACUCGCUGUCUGAGCCCAGGAGAGAGGCCCCUCGAGGAACCACCUGCGGACAGCUUACCCUCGGGGAGCAGCUUCCAGAACUGCGAGGGAAUAAAGGCCGUGUUUAAGGCCCCGUCGGUGGUGCUUUGUCAUAGAAGCCAAGCGUAGGAACGCAGCCACCAAAUGUCCCCAAGCACAUGUCUGUCUCCAGGGCCUGUGCGUUUGCAGCCCCUGAGGACCAGGGUUGCACAGUUUGGAUCACGUCAGAGCAUGUGUCCAUCCAUAACUUAUCACAGCAUUAUGUCCACGGAUGUUCCAUUGCUCACAGUACCUGACUCACAACAUGCACAGCUUUGAAAGGAGCCGUGUGUUCAGCCUGGAUCCAGGUGAUCGAUCGGGAGCCCAGAUCCAAGAUGAAGCAGGAACAGAAGCUCUUGACUGUCACACAAAGUCAAAGCGUGAGCAGGUCAUGUGGACGCUUCUGAGGCCACAGGAAGGCGUGAGGAAAGACCUGAAUGGAAAUCUCAUUUCCAUUCAGUAGGUGGGCAUAUUACAAACAAAGGGAACAGGUGCCAAAUCAGAGUCGGAGGGAGUCAGCUGCACCUUCACUCUGACCUGAACAUAGCCGGAGGUGUGGGCCCCACGGCCGGCACCCCAUUUAAAGACUCUGAGACUAGGUGGGGCCGGGCAACACAGCAAGUGUCCUGAGUGCUGGGGACUGGCCUUUCCAUCGCUGCACUCGCUGUACCACACAGACCACAGGCGCGGGGGCGGGGAGCCUUUCCACCGCAUUUUUACGAAAUGAGCCCCCUUUCAAAGUGAAACAGUAUUAUGGAUCAAAGCGUAGGUGGCUCCAUAUGUAAGGAAGAAACAGCCGGUGUCACCCUGGGCCACUCACACACGCUGCAUGGACGCCCCCUCUCAUUAAAAACGGGUCGGAUUGCAUUCCAGGCCCAGCCUGCAAAGUUAAUGACAAGCUGGCAACAAAGCAGCUUGUGAGCCUUGUACUACAACGUGAUUACCUACCUGCUUCUUAUGAGUGGGUCUGAGCAGCGCCCGGCCGGCUGGUAUUUGACCCACAGACAGGGAAGUUCCCAGGCGCUGCGAGGCUGACUCACUUCAAAGUCCUCGCCCUGCUGGCUUGGUUUACACCUGAGCCAAUUAGCUCGGGCAUCAGAAGAGGCCUGAAAACGGAGCCAAGCCCUUAUUCCCGGGCUGGAGAAAGUCACUUGAUCCCAGUAAGUUGGAAUUACACUCCCGAAAUCCACGGUAAAUUGGGAUUACACCCCCGAAAUCCACGGAGCCCAGGCUCUGGGGAGCUGGACGGACCACACAGGAGUCCAGAGCCCUCAGCCUGACGAGACCCAGCCUCCCUCCAUGGCUGCUUCCCGGCGGACCCACCACCUACUUGUCACGAAGGCAGGGAGCAUCACUGGCCUGAGCCAGCUUGCAGUGGGGAGGGUCCCCAGGGCAGAGGCCAGUGCAGAUCCCCAACAGCAGCAGGGUGGGCGGCUCCAGGAAGCAAAGCCAUCUACCGAAGGAAAGGGCCCAGAAAGGGAAUCAUGUGGCUUGGACACGCAGCAGCACCCGGAUCUCUAACUGGAGCCCACACUCCCUGGGCCCCUGCUUCAGAAUACCUGGUCUCCUGUCCGUCUUUUGAGCUGGAAGUGGUGCCAAUUACUAUGAUAUUAACUCCAGCAAACAGCAGUUAAUAAGCACUUCCAGUGACGUGUCAAGGGCCUCUAUAUUUGGAGAGCAGGAGGCAUAUUUCCCACUAUACCACCUGCCAUGGACUGCAGGAGUCCCCGCAGCAUUCUGUGGUGAGCUUGUCACCCCCAGUGUGAUGCCUCUGGGCAUGAUGAGGUCAGCAGGGUGGAGCCUCACAAAUGGGAUCAGUGCCCUCACCGACGAGGCCCCUGGAGCUCUCCUGCUUCCUCUGCUGCGUGAAAACACGUGAGAAGUCAGCAGCUGCAGGAGGCCCCCAUCGGAGCCCAGCCCUGCUCAUGCCCUGAUCUCCGACUUCCAGCCUCCAUAACCGAGAAAUACGUGUCUGUUCUUUAAAAGUCACCUGCUCCGUGGUGUUUUGUUACAGAUCCCAAACUAGGACACCACCCAUGAAAUUCACAUACCCCUUGUUCAUGGACACCCGGAACUAAAUAAAUGUCAUUGAAUGUCUUGGGCCAUCCGGCAAAUGUCUCUGGGAAUGCAGACAUGAAUUCACCUCAGCAACAUACUCGCAUGUCAAAGUCUCAGGCAUGUAAUUGUUUAUCUGUACAGCGUAUCUCCUUAUGGUGGGUGCAAGAGAGGCGCACAGAUACACACACCCUGUGAUCCACAUAAGAGAGGCCUGGUAUUGCGUACCCAGGGCUGGUGCGUGCACACGUGUGUGUGUGUGUGUGUGUGGUGUGUGUGUGAGCCCGCUCCCACGUGCCGGGUUGGACGUGCACAGAUUCACAACACAGGUGCUCUCCUCACAGUCCCUCCAAAAAGGGGGAAGGAAAAAGGAAAGCAUCCGAAGAGGUGCGCUGGAGGCUGGAGGACUGCAAUCAGAUAAACCAGUGUUUCUUCAUCAUUGUACAUUUUUAAGUUAGGCGAAGAGACCACUGACCCCUUUCCAUGGAGCCCUAGACCUCCCCCGAGGCACUGAAAGAGACUUCAGCGACAGAGAUCCGCCCUACAAGGGGACCAGCGCUGGCGGCAGUGGCACCCCCUCCCACCGGGCAUCCUCCCAGGCCAUGAGACAUUUGAUUACAUGAAAUGUAAGGAAAUCACUUUUCCAGAUAAAAACUGUUCUUUGGCAGAUACCCUCUUCUCUU